rnacentral:lncRNA from 13 species
CCUUGGCAACAUAGAAAUGUAUGCACCAUAAAAUAAAGCAACAAAUGAGAUUUCACAAAUGGCCAGCGUUUUGAAACUACUGUUUAUGAAGGCCUGAAUAAUGUUUAGACAAG